rnacentral:rRNA from 1 species
CAAGACCUUGCGCUUUUGGAGCGGCCGAUGUCUGAUUAGCUAGUUGGUGAGGUAAAGGCUUACCAAGGCUUCGAUCAGUAGCUGGUCUGAGAGGACGACCAGCCACACUGGGACUGAGACACGGCCCAGACUCCUACGGGAGGCAGCAGUGGGGAAUUUUGGACAAUGGGGGCAACCCUGAUCCAGCCAUGCCGCGUGAGUGAAGAAGGCCUUCGGGUUGUAAAGCUCUUUCAGCCGGAACGAAACGGUUACAGUUAAUAACUGUGAUCACUGACGGUACCGGAAGAAGGAGCACCGGCUAACUACGUGCCAGCAGCCGCGGUAAUACGUAGGGUGCGAGCGUUAAUCGGAAUUACUGGGCGUAAAGCGUGCGCAGGCGGUUUUGUAAGUCAGAUGUGAAAUCCCCGGGCUUAACCUGGGAACU